CUCCAAACUAAAAUAAAUUUAUCUAUUUAUAAAUAAAAACAAAAUAGAAAAAUGAAUAAUGAAAUAGCAGUCUCUGGUGAACUCAACUGCUAGCAAACUGGAGAUGGUACUAAUUCUAAACAGACAGACAUGUAUAAAAGAGAAACAGUUUUUGGCUUUCACAAUUAUCAUCCGAGUAUUCUACAGCCACAAAAUUUCUCAAUUUGCAGUCAAUUUAGCUGUAAAUAGAAUCUCUACUCAAAAACUAAGGCGUCUAAUCUGUAGCGGGUUUGUAGAACCAAGGGAAGAAGAGAAUGGUGGAAGCUAUUCAGUUCUACAGGUUUCAAAUGAGUUAGUUUUACAGGUCCUAAUGUGUCGAUAAAGCAAGAUGUAAGUGCAGCGAUCUUUGUGAAAAGUAGCUUGGUUUUAUAUUUCCAGGAAAAUGUGGAGCCAAAAUUUCUUCUUGCCAUACACAUUUCUGGUUGAUAUGGUGAAUUUUUAAGGGGAAGAUGCAUCAGAUAAAACCUGACCUCCAAAAAAGAUUGUUCUCGUGAACUCCAGCUGAAAUUAUGUGUAUAUCAAUCACAAUUCUGCCCUGUCCUCGUCUUCCCCUGACGAGCUGUCUGUCGCAGAGUUCUGUGAUGCAUUGGGAGAUGCAGGCUCUUGAGGACUCACUUCAUCACCUAGGAUUUUUGCAGUGAAUUGUCUUGCCUCGGAGUCGAGAUCCACCCAUUCGGAAACUAUUCUUUUUGCACCCUGAAGCUUGGGUUCCUUUGUCAUUGGAUUAUUGCAAAGAUCAAUAGUUUUUGCCUUGGAUUUUGUGGCGUUACCACACCAUGAUUCACACCAAAGCCAUUCUUGGGGGAGUGAAAAGAUGGGUACAUUAUGCUGAGCGUAGUUUGGGAGAUCCUGGAAGCAGGAACAGUCUCUUAAAUUGAAGGCGAUAUGAAAAAUUGUUAAGCAUCUUACCCAUAAGCUUGAGACAAGUGGAGAGACAAUAUCAACAACAAAAAGACAAUGUAGCAACAGAAUUCUAACCCAAAGCUUAAGAACAAAGUCCCAACAUACCUAAUAUAAUAUACUGUACAAGCCACAAACCAGAAGCAACAGGCAGAGAAAAAUGAAUGCAAUUACACCUAGGAAUGUCUCAAUAAUUUAUUUUUGAGAAGCCAAAUGUCUCAUAAUAAUCCCUACUAACCAAGCAAGGCUUCAACUUCAAGUCUUUGACAGAGAAUCACGUAAAAUAUAAGUCUAAUUUUACAAGAAUAUUUGAAGCACUGCAUUGCAGAUUAGGAAUGUGGUCCAAAUUGCUAAACUUCUGAACAGUAGAAUUCUAGAAUAGCAAAGAGCUCAAGGAUAAUCUAUUAGAAUACAUUCAGUAUAAAUAUAAAAAUCAGAAGAAGUAUAACCCUAGCCAUCCAUAAUAGCCCAAUAAAUGAAUUGCAUGGUGUUAACCCUAUAUUUUACAAGACUUGGACAAUGAAAUGCCUAACUUAGUACACAUAGUUGCAAGUGUUUAGUUUGAUUGCUACAUUAAUCUCUCCAUAUGUUUGUGUUUCCAUGUGUCUCUACCGUAUUUAACUUAGUCUUAACUCCUUCAAAGUGCAGCAAUGUCAAGCAAAGUAAAUGGCUAGGAAGCAGCAUUUAAGUUACUUGCAUGCAGAUCACAAAUAACUUAGCGGUCAAAUGCUUGUUAUAAAAGAAUUUUGAGGCAAGCUCUCCUAUAAAAUUACUUGUGAAAUACAAUAUUCUACAAUAAUUGUGGACUGCAUGCAUGUAAGCAACUUGUAGGCUUUAAAAUGACAUCACUUGCUAUACCAAUGGGCCAUGUUGUUAAAAAGCACUCUCUCCUUCCUAUCACAAUUCCCAAAAAUGCACUAAUAAAAUACUAAAUCAACAGAGCCUCAGACAAAAACUUGUUUGGGAGUGGCUAUGUAACUCCUUUUCCUCUAUUCAGCUCUGGUUAUGGCCACCGUUGCUUUUGCAAUGUGAAAUCAGUUAUUAAACUUUAUUCCACAUCAACUUUGGUAUAUGAUCCACUCACCCAUUGCUUAAACCAACCUUUUAUUUUCCCGCUCCAGUACAACCAUAAGAAUACAUUGGGCAUUAAUAUCUCAGUUUCCCUCAUCUUAUUCCAUCUAUGAGUGUUUCCAUGAAUCCAUGUUAAUAUCCUCAUAUGAAGACUAGAAAUUUAUAUGAAUGAUAAUAAAAUCAAUAAAACUGGAUGAUGAUAUAUCAUAAAAAAUACUGAGUGUGAGAAGAAACAUCAUGCUGACAUCUUACUUGAUCCAAAUUGGAUAGACUAUUUGGAUCCUUGCUGAGAGUUUCAUAAAAAACCCUGAGAUUAUCCCCAGCUGCAGUUUCUCGGAAUUUCACCAAAUCAACAACAUAUAAAGCACUUAUAUGGUAUGGUUUUCCCCGUAAAUGUUCUUUCCAGAAACCUUGUCUCCAAAAUCGAUAUCCAUCCAUAUCCUUGUUGUUGUCACAGAAUGGCGUAUAUGCAAGAGGCCUUCCUUUUAUAUCCAUGUCAUACAGCUCUCCCAUGUCUGCUCGAACAACCUGAUCUGCAUCCACAAAUAUAACCUUCUCCAAAGAAAGAGGAAAGAUAACAUCAAGGAAUAAAAUUUUAUACGCCCAAAUAAUUCGUUGCUUUUCCUUCUGCUUAUGCAACCAGGAAGGCCAUUUAUAGGUGAUCAGUUCAUAUUCAAAACCAUAUUCUUGUGCCAUACGUGGAAUCACAUCCUUAAAUUGAGGAGAAAGAUAGUUCUUUAUAAACCAAAAUUUCACCGGACGAUUAGUAUUCUUCAAGACACUUAGAAUCAUGAUUUUAAGGAACCUUUCAUAUAGAUGUCCAGAAGCAAUAGAAAAAAUAUUAAUUGGCUUCCCUCGCCGGCCACCCUUCCCAUGCUCCAUUGAAGUGUUCUCAUCCUUUUUGGCUUGUCCACUACCACCAAUAAAACCAGCAGCCCAUUUCAAAAGGUUAGAGUUCCAGUUAUUAUGAGUUCCUUUUUUUUUCCCUUGAGAAUGGUUAUCGUCAUCAUUAGAAACCAGCAAUUUCUCAUGCUCCAUUCCUUUUUUCUUUGCCACCUCCAAAUGUACUACUUUUCCCCUUAAAUCAUUUAUGGUUAUACGUUUCGACAAAAGGUUGUCAAGGCUUCCACCUCCAUUUUCCUUCAGAACAUAAAGCUCAGAGCUUCGACCUGAAGCAAGUUGAAGGUACCAUAGCCCAGGAGAGACUUUCAUUUGCCAAUAACCCAAGUUGGCCAUCACAAUAGUAUCAACUAAGUGGGGCAUAUUCUUAGUGCCAAGAAUCAGCUGAAGGCCUCGAGGGGGAUCGUGAUCUUUCUCAGAACAAUGACCAGUAAGGACAAGAGCUUCAAGUUCAAAAACUGCCUGCAAUGUCCUCGUGUCUCCCAAGUUUUCAAGCAAAAUGUUAUCCAAGUCAUGGACAGCAAUAAUGGGCUCAACAAGCCAUGGCUCAGGAACAUCAAGAUUCAUGGUAAGUGUUUUUGACAUUGGCAUAUUUGCAAAAAACGCUUUAGGGCCGUUUACUGCGUAAUCAGUACUGCUGAAAUCAUCCAUGGUUGGUACUACAUAUCUGUAGAAAUUUUUCAAGGGAAGAUCAACAAGAGAACUCAUAGGGUUUAGUACAAUUCUCAUGCUUGGUUGAAUGUAUUGCCUGAGAACUCUAAGCAGUGACGCCACUUUCUGACCAACUGGACUCAAAGGAUCAACUACAGCAUCGAUGUGAACAGUAGAAUUUUCAUUUUCUAUAAUAACAGCACUAUGUUCUGCACUCAAAAUCUCAAAACGAGCACUUUCAGAACUUCGAUCCCGCAAAGCCAUUGCAGAUGACACAGACAUAACAAUGUCACUAACAAAUUUGCUUGUUAGCACAUCUGGAUCUAUGUCCUGCCACUGUACUUCCUCAAUAAUUUCCGCUAUGUGCUUUAUUCUUUGCUUAAAUUCCAGAGACUCCAGCAGAUUUAGAUCAUGGCUCAAAAAGGUCCCUUCAUUAGUCAGAACUGUCACCCUUCCAUUAGUAAUCACAGCAUUAACACCAGCUUCAAGUCCUAGUUGCCUGUACAAAAAUUGCACAACCUUAUUCAAACGUUUUCUCAUUAUGUCAAUGGAAAAUUCAGGAAGAUCAGAUUUGUAGGCCUUCAGUGACAACUCAUUUGAUUCGGCCAGUUCAUAGACCUUGUUUGUAAAUGCUACGCUUUCAGCUGCUAUAGAAGAUGCAAAGAUGUAAUUUUGCUCAUAGAAUGAGCAUAGAUGCUCCAAAAAGUUCAGCACAUUCUUUUUAUGACUAUAAGAUGACACAGUAAUUUCAAAAGCCUUCAUGAAAAGAAGAGCAGGUAAAUCAGUAUCAGUUUUGGCACUGAAUAUGACACCCAAGCGACCAGCUUUCGACCCUCGAAUCAGAUAAAGAAUUCCUUCAUGAAGCAACUUUAUCCCUCUGAUUGAAGUGAUGUCAACUACAAGAAGUUGAGUUACUGGCUUCAAAUCAUCUAUGGUGUUAGGAGAAUGCAAGUAGCUAAUAUCAUUAAUCACAGAUUCCCCUUCAAGAACUGAUGAACUUAGGGAAACAAACCUAGGUUUGGCCUUGCCCUCAGCAAUGAUCUGAAUGUAAACAUCAGCAUGAGAUAUACGGUAUCAAAAACCAUUGGAAAAUGAUAAUCAAGUAAUGAAAUCCUGGAAUGAUAUACCUGAGGAUUAUAGCGGCUAAUACUGCUUUCUGACAAAAAUUUGUCCAAGAUAUCACUACGAGAAUUGAUGUGUCCAUAGUAAACUUGUUCUUGUAUCCUAGGAAGCUCGUCAUUCAUGGCAUUCAUAAGAGCCUCCUCACUAGAAUCAAAAACAAGACCAUUCAUCAAGAGGCAACUCUUCAGUUUGUACAAACCCAGCUUAAAAACAAACAUGGAGCUCUCUUGUGACAGCUCAUUAUUAGUUUUCUCCUUUUCCAGUUUUAGUAAUAUAUCUUGAGGUGGAGACGUCGCCUGUGGUAAAACUGUUUCUACAAAUGCUCCUUCCACAUGGUGCAUCUCAGGAGAAUCAUCUACAGACUCUGCUGACUCCAUUCGUAAUCUAUUUAUAUUGCCUAGAAACUGGAAAGCUGUUUUAAUUCCAUAGUUUUCCUUGAUAUAGAUGAAGAGACGUAUGAUCAAGCUGGAUGUAUCCUCCUUUUGACUGUCAUUCUCCACAGCAGAUAAAUGGAGAUCACCACCACCAUCUUCAAUUUUCUUGAUAAACUUAGAAGAAUACAGAAUCAACCCAAAUCUCAUUGGAAAGUUGUUCUCAUACAAGGAUAUAAUCAUAUCGAUGCACUCAAGACCGUGACUGGUGGCUGGAUCAAGAACAUAAACUGCAUGGAACAAGUUCUUGCGGAUGUAACGCAGUUGCCCAGGGAAGACAGGCAUCAAAAUCUCAUUUAUGUUACUUCGCCAUCGCUUAUACAUAGCAUCCUCCUCCAAAUUAUUGAGAUAAUGAACAUGAGCUGAUCGAAAAUCAACACGUAACAUAUUUGACUCAGGAGGAGACAUUGUUGACAAGAGUUUCCGAAUCGCACUAUAAGGAACCUAAAAGAUUAGAAGCACCAGCUCUUCAAUAUAAUUCAGGACAAUUUUGAAGUUAACUAUAAGAGACCACAGUCCAUUUUGACACAUUAAAUCCAUCCUAGAACAUUACAAGGCAAGCAUCAAUAAUUACUUAUUUUAAGUCUCCAUCAUUUUUUCACAUAAAUGAGUACAAGAAUAAAAUUCAAUUCCGUCAUUAAAUAUUGUCUACAGUUUCCAUGCCAAACACCCCCAGGCACUCGAUGCAAUAGUUUGACUUUUCAUUGCAUGGAUUGUGAAAGGAUAAGUAAUUAAGUAGUAGCAAGCACACAGCAUCCUCAAAUUUCAUAUUUUACUUAUUUUCACAGCAAUUUGAAGGACAUUAUGGGAGAUAUUUUAUUAACACAAAAACUUUAGGCCAAUUUCAUGCACAAUUAUAUUCCUAUACUUAUUUUCCAACUUUCUAGCUUUUUAUUUUUUUUUCCCUGCCUUCUUGCAUAGAAAUGUUCAUAUCAAGUACUAUACAUAUAUAUUCAACACAAAUGUAUUACUUCAUAUUUCAUCUGGGUGCUCAUCACAUAUACUAUUUGAUGGAGGAUCCAUCUCAUAUUUUAUUUUUUUUAUUUUCUUUUCUUAUUUUGGGAAACUAGAUGUGUUAGGAGAUUAUCAAGUUAAUUAAGAUAUGUCAUAUUCAUUAACAUAUUUGGCAGAGGAAGAAAAGGGUAGACCUUGAAUGAUGUGGCGUAGAAUAGUGAAUAUGAAUUUUGCAGCAUUAGACCUUUCCGAAGAUGGAAGAAAAGGAUAUAGCAGAUUCAAACUAAAUUGGGAUUAAGGCUUAAUUGACUUAAAUAUUAGGAUUAUUGACAAAAUAAUUUAAACUAAUUAGGGGGUUUUUUCAUAUUCCAAUUAUACAUUUUCUUUUCCUAUUUUUUAAUCGUUUGGUGCCCAUAUAAGGGUAUCCUAGUAUAUUAUUGAGGAGAUUAUCAAUUUGAAUUGAUAAUUGAUGGACUUAGUGUUUUCUUCUUCCUUUUUUCUCCUCCUCCCACAGCUUUCGGUGCCUUCUUUGCUCAUUCUACAUCACUAUUCCAACUGACACGAGAUUUAGCAACAUUCACCUUCAAUUUUGAAAACUGAUCAGCCAAUAAGAGCUCUUGCUGUACCAUGUCUACCAACCUAAAAAGAAAAGCAUGAAAGCAAAAAGUUACAAAUUAAAAAAAUUAAUGUUACUGAAGAAAUCCAAAUGACAGAACAAAAAAAUGUUCAUGCCAGAAUAAAAUGGUGGUUAAAUUUAUAUACAAGUGAAACAAAACAUCUGGCUUAUAGAAAGGCUAACGUGCAAAUAGCCCUUAGGAUUAUUUAUGCUGUCCUUAACAUUAGAUGAUACAUGGCAAACUGAGUGUAAGGAUCCAGUUAACAUUAGAUGAUACAUGGCAAACUGAGUGUAAGGAUCCAGGAUGCACUUUUAGGGGCCAAGAAAUUCAACUCAAUGAAGUUGUCAUGAAUCUCCAUUCUCUAAAGCCAACUGAGCUAUAUUUUUGUCUUUCAGAAUUCAUCUUUCUAAAUUUUUUAUGAGGGUUUAAGCUAGUUAUCAACUUAAACAAAGUCCACUUUCUCUGGGUUCAACUUAUUUGGAAGAUGAAACUCUUACAUGAUACAUAUUAAAUCUGAAAAUUUGGCAAAACAAAAGAUAAAAUUUUAGUUGGUAAAUGAUGACUAAUCAUCUAAAUUUAUAGGAUUUGUGGAAUCAAUCAAUUACAGCCAAACUCCUAAGUUUGCUAGCCUCAAUUUUUAAUAAAGAAGUGCCAGAAAUACUAUUGAGCAGCAUCACUUAAAAGUGACAUUUAUUCUUUUUUCACUUUCUCCCUUCCAUUGCAAUUAUGAAAAAUAAUCACAAAAAAAGGAAAUCACCCUACAUCAUGGAAAAUGAAGUGCAGCACAUAUACAUAAUUAUUCAUUUGAUAAUUAUCCAGGUAUACUAAACUAUCGACUAAGAAAAACGAUAUCAAAAGUACAAGCCCCAAGGCUCGAAAAAGUAUCUUAUUAAUUGGCAUUAAAGCAGAAUAAAAAAUGCCAUUGCUCACAUACUGCGGAACUAAUAUUAUAGAACCCCAUUUAAAGAGGUUGGGAAAAAAGAGAGAAAAGAAAUCAAAUAGCUCAUGUUUUUAACAUGAGAAGCAUAGUCCUGAUUCCUGAAGUAAGUUGCAGUAGUUCAAAAGUAUU
rnacentral:misc_RNA from 1 species